rnacentral:rRNA from 1 species
UUGGAGGGCAAGUCUGGUGCCAGCAGCCGCGGUAAUUCCAGCUCCAAUAGCGUAUAUUAAAGUUGUUGCAGUUAAAAAGCUCGUAGUUGAAUUUCGGAAUCAAUUUAUUGGUCGUGCCAACGGUACGCACUGGUACAAUUGGUCUCUCCCUUCUGACGAAGCAUGAUGUCAUUAAUUUGAUGUCGUGGGGAAUCAGGACUGUUACUUUGAAAAAAUUAGAGUGUUUAAAGCAGGCUUUGGCUUGAAUACAUUAGCAUGGAAUAAUGAAAUAGGACGUUUGAUCUUAUUUCGUUGGUUUCUAAGAUCGACGUAAUGAUUAAUAGGGAUAGUUGGGGGCAUUAGUAUUCAAUUGUCAGAGGUGAAAUUCUUGGAUUUAUUGAAGACUAACUACUGCGAAAGCAUUUGCCAAGGAUGUUUUCAUUAAUCAAGAACGAAAGUUAGGGGAUCGAAGACGAUCAGAUACCGUCGUAGUCUUAACCAUAAACUAUGCCGACUAGGGAUCGGAUGAUGUUAAUUUUUUAAUGACUCAUUCGGCGCCUUACGGGAAAC